UACGAAGGUCCCGAGCGUUAUUCGGAAUCACUGGGCGUAAAGGGAGCGUAGGCUGCGUGGUAAGUCAGAUGUGAAAUCUGGGGGCUCAACCCCCAAACUGCAUUCGAUACUGCCACGCUAGAGUAAUGGAGAGGUAACUGGAAUUCUCAGUGUAGCAGUGAAAUGCGUAGAUAUUGAGAGGAAGACCAAUGGCGAAAGCA
rnacentral:rRNA from 1 species